UUUUGUUGCCUUAGAAAAUUAUUAGCUUCCUCUUCUCAAAUUCUAGUUCUUAAUACAUUAUUUUCUUCUCUAAGUUUCUGGAUCUCUUUUUUCAUUUGAGUGAUCUUUCAUAAUAUUCUUGAUUAUUUUUUUUUACUCUUUUUUUCUACUUUCUUCUCCUCUAUCAUUUUGUUUUUGAGAUAUUUUUAAACCUCUUCCAAAAACUCCUUUUGAGCUUGUGGCAAUUAAUUUGUAUAUCCUUACUGUUUUUGAAGUAGGUAUUUUUAGUUCACUAUCUUCUGAGUUUGAGAAGAGAUCUGCUUUUUCUCCGUGAUAGCUAUUAAUGCUUGCAUUCUUUCUCCUUUGCUUGCUCAUUACUUAUUUACUUAUUUCUUUCUUUGCUUAUAUAUUUAUUUUUGUUUUAGUGGUCAAACCAGUAGUUUUAGUUAUUGGCUUUUUUUCCCUUAAGUCUCAGAGUUCCUAUUAUCUCGAGUUUUAGAAUUUGUGAGUCUCUUUGUUUUUUUUUCCUAGGUCCUAUUUACUUAUUUCAGGUUUUAUAGCCAAAGUCAGAUGUGCUCCUGGUCCCCUUCUCAACAAGCCCCAGUUAGUGAUUGACCUCUGGUGCUUCAACCAAAUACCACAAGCAGUUCUGCUACUGCAAUGGCAAACAGCCAGUCCACCUCCCACUGUGUCAACAACCAGGGACUCUCCUCUCCUGGGAGUGACCACAGCUAUUGGAGGCCAAGGCCCUCAGCCAACAAGCUCACUGCUUCUUCUUCAUUCCUCCUCUCUCACUGCAGGCCUCCAAAGUCCCUCCUAGGUUAGUAAUAAGUCUUGAAUUCCUGUCCUUAGGACCUGGUACCCACCAACUCUAAGGUGGUGGUGUAACUCCUUAAAUCCCAAGCCUUGGGCCAGCCAAGGCCUCCUGAGCAAAGGCUGCAGCAAGCAGAGCUACCCGCAGGGCCCUCUCUGGGUUAAGGGCUUUCCAAGCUCAACAAACAAGGGAUACUGGUUCUCGUGGUUAUCUCGCCUGAAAUUUGGGAGGAGAAAUUCAUCUCUCUACAACCCCUUGCCAUUUGGGCCUGCCCAGUUUCUAAAAUACAUCCAAUUUGGGAUUUCUCCACACUAUGUUCAUCGAGGAAUUCUCCCUCACUAUGGGAGAUCCAAGAGGUGUGACAAAAAAGGAACCUAAAUGGAUAGGGAAGGAACUUUAAGGAGUUUGG
ensembl:lncRNA